GCCUACGACCAUAUCACCCUGAAUGCGCCCGAUCUCGUCUGAUCUCGGAAGCUAAGCAUGGUCGAGCCUGAUUAGUACUUGGAUGGGAGACUAACUGGGAAUACCAGGUGUUGUAGGCU
rnacentral:rRNA from 1 species